GCAUGUGUAGUUUAGUGGUAGAACAUGGGCUUCCCAAGCCUAAGAUGCGGGUCCGAUUCCCGUCACGUGCUCCA
rnacentral:tRNA from 1 species